GACAGAGGCCUCGAGCGUUAGGCGGAAUCACUGGGCUUAAAGCGUGUGUAGGCGGAUCGUUAAGUGUCUUCGGUGAAAUCCCCCGGCUCACCCGGGGAACUGCUGGGCAUACUGGCGAUCUUGGGCCGUUCAGGGGCGACUGGAACAAGCGGUGGAGCGGUGAAAUGCGUAGAUAUCGCUUGGAACGCCGAAGGUGAAAACAGGUCGCUGGGGACGCGCCGACGCUGAGACACGAAAGCCAGGGGAGCAAACGGG
rnacentral:rRNA from 1 species